rnacentral:rRNA from 1 species
GAGUAACACGUAAGUAAUCUACCUUCGGAUGGGGAAUAACAGUCGGAAACGACUGCUAAUACCGCAUAAUGCGGCGGCAUCAUAAGAUGACAGUUGUUAAAGUAUUUAUACGUCUGGAGAGGAGCUUGCGGCAGAUUAGCUAAUUGGUAAGGUAACGGCUUACCAAGGCUACGAUCUGUAUCCGACCUGAGAGGGUGGUCGGACACACUGACACUGAAUAACGGGUCAGACUCCUACGGGAGGCAGCAGUCGGGAAUUUUGGGCAAUGGGCGAAAGCCUGACCCAGCAACGCCGCGUGAAGGAUGAAGUCUUUCGGGAUGUAAACUUCGUAAGAAUAGGAAGAAUAAAUGACGGUACUAUUUGUAAGGUCCGGCUAACUACGUGCCAGCAGCCGCGGUAAUACGUAGGGACCAAGCGUUGUUCGGAUUUACUGGGCGUAAAGGGCGCGUAGGCGGCAAUUCAAGUCAUCUGUGAAAUCUCCGGGCUUAACUCGGAACGGUCAGAUGAUACCGCUUUGCUAGAGUACAGAAGGGGCAAUCGGAAUUCUUGGUGUAGCGGUGAAAUGCGUAGAUAUCAAGAGGAACACCUGAGGUGAAGACGGGUUGCUGGGCUGAUACUGACGCUGAGGCGCGAAAGCUAGGGUAGCAAACGGGAUUAGAUACCCCGGUAGUCCUAGCCCUAAACGAUGAAUACUUGGUGUCUGGAGUUUUAAUUCUCCGGGUGCCGUCGCUAACGUUUUUAGUAUUCCGCCUGGGGAGUACGCACGCAAGUGUGAAACUCAAAGGAAUUGACGGGGACCCGCACAAGCGGUGGAGCAUGUGGUUUAAUUCGACGCAACGCGAAGAACCUUACCUGAACUAGAAUGCGAGGGAAGACUACCUAAUAGUAGUCGUCGGGCAACCGACCCAAAGCAAGGUGCUGCAUGGCUGUC